ACACAUUUCCACAUAUAGAAUAUAUAAUAUAAAGAAAUAUGUAGCCAUAAAUAUAGUAUAUGCAUAUGUAUGUGGUAGCAUGCUCACAGUCAGCCGAUUGAUCCUUUUCCUCGAGAUGCUGUUGGAAGAAAAAUAAGCAGCUAAUGCUCAUAAAUUUGAUGUUUUUCAGUCUAGACAGGAAUUUCUAGUUGCAAACUGGUAAAUUUCCCGUCUAUUUUGAUGCUCCACUGCAUUGGUGUAUGUUUGUAAAUACCUACAUAAACAUAUACGAAUAUAAAUUUUAUAUUAUACAUUCAGUGCAAUUACGGCUUAUUUAUACCGAUCACGUAUUCCCGUCAACGAAAAAGAGUUACUAGUAAAUACUAUACAUGCUUAAUAAACAAACAUAUGUAUGUAUAAUGUGUCGGUAAGCGUAAAUCUACUGAGAGUAAAAGAAUAUGAUAUAUGAAUAUGUGAGAACAAGUGAAACAGUGAACUAGAAAUUAAUACUAAAAAUACCCACAAUUAGAGAACCUGGAGCAGCUUGCUUGAUUAGAUUAAAAAGUACAAUCACUGAAAAUGAAAAUAAAGUUAAUUAUUUUAAGUAAUUAUUAUGUAUCCUAGCCAAAGUAACGCCAAUAUAGGAGGGGGCCCAAGAGUAAGCCCGAAUGAGGAGCAUUUGCAACAUCAAUCCCCACAGCAUCAGCAACAACAAAAUAUGAAUUAUAAUACGGACCAAACGAAGCAACAACAUACUGACACUACGUCUUCAUCUCAGCAGCAAAUAAACCCAAAUAAAAAAAUCGCUAAAAAGGCGUACGUUAAAAUUGUGGAACAACCUGCAAGCAAAGCAUUGAGAUUUCGUUAUGAAUGCGAGGGUCGUUCGGCUGGUUCUAUUCCAGGUGUGAAUUCGACCCCGGAAAUGAAAACUUUUCCUACCAUCGAAAUUGUUGGUUACAAGGGGCGAGCAGUAGUGGUCGUCUCUUGUGUGACCAAGGACGCACCCUACCGUCCUCAUCCUCACAAUUUGGUAGGUAAGGAGGGUUGUAAAAAGGGUGUUUGCACCUUGGAAAUUAACAGCGAUACGAUGCGUGCCGUAUUUGGUAAUUUAGGAAUACAAUGCGUGAAGAAGAAAGACAUUGAAAGUGCCUUAAAAGCAAGAGAAGAUAUUCGAGUUGAUCCUUUUAAAACUGGAUUUUCGCACCGUUUCCAGCCAACUAGUAUAGACCUAAACUCUGUCAGAUUGUGUUUUCAAGUAUUUUUAAAAGGUGACAUGGGUCGUUUCACAGUACCACUGCCACCUGUAGUUUCAGAGCCUAUUUAUGAUAAAAAGGCCAUGUCGGAUCUCGUUAUUUGUCGUAUUUGUGAGUGUUCGGCUUCGGUUUUAGGGAACACAAAAAUUAUUCUACUCUGUGAGAAAGUAGCUAAAGAGGAUAUUGCGGUGCGAUUUUUUGAAGAGAAGGACGGUGUUACAAUUUGGCAAGCAUAUGGUCAGUUCGAGCACAGUGAUGUUCAUAAACAAACCGCGAUUACAUUCAGGACACCAAAAUAUCAUAAUACAAGCAUAACAAUGCCAGUAGAGGUAUUGGUACAAUUGCAAAGACCGUCAGAUGGAGCAGUUAGUGACCCCGCGACAUUUGAAUAUAAACCGGCGAAGUCGGGACCAGAGGAAUUGAGACGAAAACGUCAAAGGACUGAUGGCGAUACAAUGCAUUUCUCGCCGCAACAACAAAGUGAUCACCCAGGUGGUCCCAAUUUAGGCAUGACAAAUUGGAAUACACCCAAUAUACCAGCGAUUAAGACAGAGCCAAGAGAAGCAUCACCCCAACCAUUUAACUUAUAUCGUGGAACUACGGAGAUGACUCCAUCUCCUCAGCCUUUAUCACCGCCGAAUAAUAACAAUCAUCCAAAUACACCAUCACCAUACAACAUGACUGCAGGAGGAAAUACACCAUUGAUGUCGCCUAGCCAUCAAUAUCAAGGGAGCACUGCGGUAGGGAGAGUUCCAUCAAAUACUGAUACAAUGACCAUUCCACUAGAGAUGCAUAACGAGUUUAACUCAUAUAGAGGUGGCCAGCCACAGCCAGUACAACUCCAUUCGCGGCAGUAUGUACGUCAUUCUGAACUGCCACAACAGCAGGACUCACAUCAACAACCACAGCAUAAUCAGCAUCAGUCACAACACCAGCAAUAUCAUAAUCUUCUUUAUGGCAAUACAGAGGCAACAAAUUGGGAGGAGAAGUAUUCUAAUGUGCUGCCGGUAAUGGGCAAUAUGAGCACAGCAGCCAUAGCAAUGAAUAAUCUUAAUCCAAACAACAACCAGUUCAAUUUGCAAAAUUUGUUAACGGCGACAGCCACUGCUAUGUCAGCUGCAACUCAGAAUCCGCAUUGGAAUUUUCCACCAAAUCACGAGCAGAAUGCACAACUGCAGCAACAACAUCAGCACCAAAUCCAAAUUCAACAACAGCAGUCAUCGCAAUCACCAUUCCAACAACCAUCGAAUAACAAUCACGAUGCGACAAUGGUAAACUUGUCAAGGACCAACAACGCAAACAUUGCGAACAUUGUUGAUACUGUCGGAGACGGCGAUCAGGGACCAACGAUAAGUAACUUAUUGAAUUUCGAUAGCGGACAGCUUGUGCACAUCAAUUCUGAAGAACAGCAAAUGCUUCGACUCACCUCCGAAGAACUCAGACUCUCCAAUUUAUCUAUAUCGUCGUGACGAUGAAGUAUAGUACAUCACUAGUUUAAGGAAAACUAUUAUUGCAUAUUAUUUUUGGCCCCAAACAGCAUCAACUCACAUAAGGUGCCUUUUCGAGUGUGAGGCCAAACGGAAAUGUUGUAAUCUUCGGUGGUGGUGUCGCGGGUAGUGUACAAUAAGCAAUCCAAUGU
rnacentral:misc_RNA from 1 species